rnacentral:rRNA from 1 species
AUUGAACGCUGGCGGCAUGCUUUACACAUGCAAGUCGAACGGUAACAGGCCGCAAGGUGCUGACGAGUGGCGAACGGGGGCGUAAUGCAUCGGAACGUGCCCAGUCGUUGGGGGUAACUACUCGCAAGAGUAGCCAAUACCGCAUACGAUCUAAGAUAGAAAACGGGGGACUGUAAGGGCUCGCGCGGUUGGUGCGGUCGAUGUCAGAUUAGGUAGUUGGUGGGGUAAAGGCUCACCAAGCCAACGAUCUGUAGCUGGUCUGAGAGGACGACCAGCCACACUGGGACUGAGACACGGCCCAGACUCCUACGGGAGGCAGCAGUGGGGAAUUUUGGACAAUGGGCGCAAGCCUGAUCCAGCAAUGCCGCGUGCAGGAAGAAGGCCUUCGGGUUGUAAACUGCUUUUGUACGGAACGAAACGGCUCUGGUUAAUACCCGGGGCUAAUGACGGUACCGUAAGAAUAAGCACCGGCUAACUACGUG